rnacentral:rRNA from 1 species
AUUGAACGCUGGCGGCAUGCCUUACACAUGCAAGUCGAACGGUAACAGGUCUUCGGAUGCUGACGAGUGGCGAACGGGUGAGUAAUACAUCGGAACGUGCCCGAUCGUGGGGGAUAACGGAGCGAAAGCUUUGCUAAUACCGCAUACGAUCUACGGAUGAAAGCAGGGGACCGCAAGGCCUUGCGCGGACGGAGCGGCCGAUGGCAGAUUAGGUAGUUGGUGGGAUAAAAGCUUACCAAGCCGACGAUCUGUAGCUGGUCUGUGAGGACGACCAGCCACACUGGGACUGAGACACGGCCCAGACUCCUACGGGAGGCAGCAGUGGGGAAUUUUGGACAAUGGGCGAAAGCCUGAUCCAGCCAUGCCGCGUGCAGGAUGAAGGCCUUCGGGUUGUAAACUGCUUUUGUACGGAACGAAAAGACUCUUUCUAAUAAAGAGGGUCCAUGACGGUACCGUAAGAAUAAGCACCGGCUAACUACGUG